AUGGACCUGAGGUUUCUUUCAUAUCAUUAUUCCCCCUUGAAGGUUAUUGAUAUGGCAAGGUUGAAUCAUGAGAACAUAGCAAAGUUUCUGGACUAUUGCAGAGAGAGUGACCCAUUCUCGAGGAUGUUAGUCUUUGAGUACGCAUCAAAUGGGACCCCGUACGAGCACCUACACUAUGGGGAAGCGGCCCAAUUCUCUUGGCUCAGAUGA
rnacentral:rRNA from 1 species